rnacentral:rRNA from 1 species
GACGAACGCUGGCGGCGUGCCUAAUACAUGCAAGUUGAGCGCUGAAGGUUGGUACUUGUACCCACUGGAUGAGCAGCGAACGGGUGAGUAACGCGUGGGGAAUCUGCCUUUGAGCGGGGGACAACAUUUGGAAACGAAUGCUAAUACCGCAUAAAAACUUUAAACACAAGUUUUAAGUUUGAAAGAUGCAAUUGCAUCACUCAAAGAUGAUCCCGCGUUGUAUUAGCUAGUUGGUGAGGUAAAGGCUCACCAAGGCGAUGAUACAUAGCCGACCUGAGAGGGUGGUCGGCCACAUUGGGACUGAGAAACGGCCCAAACGCCUACGGGAGGCAGCAGUAGGGAAUCUUCGGAAAUGGACGAAAGUCUGACCGAGCAACGCCGCGUGAGUGAAGAAGGUUUUCGGAUCGUAAAACUCUGUUGGUAGAGAAGAACGUUGGUGAGAGUGGAAAGCUCAUCAAGUGACGGUAACUACCCAGAAAGGGACGGCUAACUACGUG